UACGUAGGGUGCGAGCGUUGUCCGGAAUUACUGGGCGUAAAGAGCUCGUAGGUGGUUUGUCGCGUUGUUCGUGAAAACCGGGGGCUUAACUCUCGGCGUGCGGGCGAUACGGGCAGACUGGAGUACUGCAGGGGAGACUGGAAUUCCUGGUGUAGCGGUGGAAUGCGCAGAUAUCAGGAGGAACACCGGUGGCGAAGGCGGGGUCUCUGGGCAGGUAACUGACGUGGAGGAGCGAAAAGCGUGGGGAGCGAACAGGAAUUAGAUACCCG
rnacentral:rRNA from 1 species